UCGUACUAGCCGGGGAGUUAGCGGUGCCCUGUACCUGCAAUCCGCUACAGCAGGGGUGAAUGCCAUACUGAGGGUUUAACUUGUUUGGUCUGACUUGUAUAAGUGAUGUUGAGAGUUGGGUCCCACGCAAUAAAGAUCUGUGAACCUCGUCAGGUCCGGAAGGAAGCAGCGAUAAGCGGAAGCCUUUAUGUGCCGUGGAUCAAUCUGGCUUGAGUUAACUGUACUUGUAACGCUUAUAAGUUAUUAUUCGAGGUAUGGUGUACGG
rnacentral:SRP_RNA from 1 species